rnacentral:rRNA from 1 species
UUGACGGGAACUCGGCUGCAUUCAUUCGGUCGGCCUAGCGGCCCGAUGGGACUGACUUCCUCGAUGAGGGCAGUUUUGUCGGUAGCUGUUGGGUGCUUGAUCGGUGUAUUUGCGGCUGGUAUGCGCUGAGAGCCUUGUGGACGAAUGUUGAAGGGCACGUAGUGGACCAUUCCUUACGGGUGUGGAACCCUCCGUGCUUUGAGGCAUGUUGGCCAUGAGGCUUAAAAAUUUGCGUCUCCGCUAUGGUGCGUCGGCCUUGUUGAGCUGUUGCUGCCGUGGUAUGGUCGCGUGCGACCUGCUGUAGUUGGCGAUGGCGUGACAGGGUGCGGACGCGUCGAGACGUCCCUCUCGGUGUGAACGUUGACCACCUAUCCGACCCGUCUUGAAACACGGACCAAGGAGUCCAGCAUAUGCGCGAGUCAUUGGGUGAUAAACCUAAAGGCGUAAUGAAAGUGAAAUUCGUCUCGAACGAACGAUAUGGGAUCCGUGUUGCUUUCGGGCAAUGCGGCGCACCAUAGCCCCGUCCCCGUUGCUUGCAAUAGGGCGGAGGUAGAGCGUAUACGCUGGGACCCGAAAGAUGGUGAACUAUGCCUGAGCAGGAUGAAGCCAGAGGAAACUCU